rnacentral:rRNA from 1 species
CCCUUAGAUGUUCUGGGCUGCACGCGUGCUACAAUGGCGUUUCCAGCAAGUCUGCGAACCCGAGAGGGCCAGCGGAUCUUCGAAUUGGCGUCGUGAUCGGGACAGUCGAUUGCAAUUAUUUGACUCAAACGAGGAAUUCCUUGUAAUCGCGAUUCAUCAUAUCGCGCUGAAUACGUCCCUGCCCUUUGUACACACCGCCCGUCGCUCCUACCGAUUGAGCGAUCCGGUAAAUGUUUUGGAUUGGUGCCGGUGCGGCUAGCUGCCGGUCGCUACGAAAUUUUGUGAACCUUAUCGCUUAGAGGAAGGAAAAGUCGUAACA